UCCGGUGUAGCUCAAUGGUAGAGCAGCUGACUGUUAAUCAGCGGGUUGCAGGUUCGAGUCCUGCCGCCGGAG
rnacentral:tRNA from 1 species